AAUUAUUGGAACAAUGGGGAGGCAAUCCUGAUCCCAGCCAUGCCCGCGUGCAGGAAGACUGCCCUAUGGGUUGUAAACUGCUUUUAUACAGGAAGAAAAAGCCCGACGAGUCGGGUGUUGACGGUACUGUAAGAAUAAGGAUCGGCUAACUCCGUGCCAGCAGCCGCGGUAAUACGGAGGAUCCAAGCGUUAUCCGGAAUCAUUGGGUUUAAAGGGUCCGUAGGCGGGAUGAUAAGUCAGUGGUGAAAGUCUGCAGCUUAACUGUAGAAUUGCCAUUGAUACUGUUGUUCUUGAGUGCUUGUGAAGUGGUUAGAAUGAGUAGUGUAGCGGUGAAAUGCAUAGAUAUUACUCAGAAUACCGAUUGCGAAGGCAGAUCACUAACAAUCCACUGACGCUGAUGGACGAAAGCGUAGGUAGCGAACAGGAUUAGAUACCCUGGUAGUCUACGCCGUAAACGAUGGUUACUAGCUGUUUGGACUAAUUGCGGUCUGAGUGGCUAAGCGAAAGUGAUAAGUAACCCACCUGGAGAUGC
rnacentral:rRNA from 1 species